CUCAAUGUCACUUUCUCUGUUUAUCCAUGGUUUUCGGAGUUUUAAUUAAUUACGAAGCAACAGAUGGACGAGUAUAUGUGGGCACCACAGCUUAAUGUUGAAUAAUUGUACACAUAUUUUUGGAGGACUUGGCACCACGUAUUUCACACAUAUGCUACGUUGUAAUAAUGAUGUAUGGAGACAAUGCAAUGGGACAAACAAGAAACGGAGUGGCAAUGUUGAUAUGGGCACACUACAAAAGAAGAGACGUUUGCAUUUCACAGAUAGUGUUGAUGUGUUUACUGCGGCUUGAAGGAAGCGGUAGUUUUUUAAUCAAUUUGGUUAAUUUAAUUUUGAUAUAAGUAAUCCUGUCGCUGAUCUCCUACCUGAAUA